GCUGGCGGCAGGCCUAACACAUGCAAGUCGAGCGCGCCUUCGGGUGAGCGGCGGACGGGUUAGUAACGCGUGGGAACGUGCCCUUCUCUACGGAAUAGCCUCUGGAAACGGAGAGUAAUACCGUAUACGCCCUUUGGGGGAAAGAUUUAUCGGAGAAGGAUCGGCCCGCGUUAGAUUAGGUAGUUGGUGGGGUAACGGCCUACCAAGCCUACGAUCUAUAGCUGGUUUUAGAGGAUGAUCAGCAACACUGGGACUGAGACACGGCCCAGACUCCUACGGGAGGCAGCAGUGGGGAAUCUUAGACAAUGGGGGCAACCCUGAUCUAGCCAUGCCGCGUGAGUGAUGAAGGCCUUAGGGUCGUAAAGCUCUUUCGCCUGUGAUGAUAAUGACAGUAGCAGGUAAAGAAACCCCGGCUAACUCCGUGCCAGCAGCCGCGGUAAUACGGAGGGGGUUAGCGUUGUUCGGAAUUACUGGGCGUAAAGCGCGCGUAGGCGGAUUAGAAAGUUGGGGGUGAAAUCCCGGGGCUCAACCUCGGAACUGCCUCCAAAACUGCUAGUCUAGAGUUCGAGAGAGGUGAGUGGAAUUCCGAGUGUAGAGGUGAAAUUCGUAGAUAUUCGGAGGAACACCAGUGGCGAAGGCGGCUCACUGGCUCGAUACUGACGCUGAGGUGCGAAAGUGUGGGGAGCAAACAGGAUUAGAUACCCUGGUAGUCCACACCGUAAACGAUGAAUGCCAGUCGUCGGGUAGUAUACUAUUCGGUGACACACCUAACGGAUUAAGC
rnacentral:rRNA from 1 species